rnacentral:rRNA from 1 species
ACGGGGGAAGAACUACAGGAUUCCCUCAGUAACGGCGAGUGAAGAGGGAAGAGCUCAGUUUUGAAAUCUGGCAGUCAUUCACUGUCCGAGUUGUAAAUUGAAGAGACUGUCAUCCACACUGGACCAUGUCUAAAUUGUAAUGAUCCACAGUCCUUUGAUGGAGUAUCAGAGAGGGUAAUAAUCCCGUCUUUAACGUGGACUCCCAGUGUUUAUGUGAUGCUCUCUCUCAGAGUCGAGUAGUUUGGGAAUGCUGCUCUAAUGGGAGGUAAAUUCCUUCUAAAGCUAAAUAUUGGCGAGAGACCGAUAGCGAACAAGUACCGUGAGGGAAAGAUGAAAAGAACUCUGAAAAGAGAGUCAAACAGAACGUGAAAUUGCUGAAAGGGAAGCGUUUGAAGUCAGAUACAUCUUCAUGGAAUAACGGCUCAGUUAGCAGAGACUGAGGUCAGUGACUUGAAGAUGGGCCAGCACUCACGUAGACCAUUGGAAAAAGGGUCAUGGAAUGUAGCUCAAUUCUUGAGUGAUUAUAGCCUUGAUCCAUAUACAAUGUGUGUUAUGUGAGAUUGACAGCACGACUUUGUCAGUGCUUGCUUGACUGGCAUAAUGGCUCUAAGCGACCCGUCUUGAAACACGGACCAAGGAGUCUAACAUGUAUGCGAGUAUUAGAGUGAUUGAAACUCUGAAUGCGGAAUGAAAGUGGUCUUGACUGAGAAUCCUCAGUUAGGGGAGGCAUCAGUACCCCGAGUCUACUAGUCUUUGACUAAAGAUUUGGAGGUAGAGCAUAUAUGUUGGGACCCGAAAGAUGGUGAACUAUGCCUGAAUAGGGUGAAGUCAGAGGAAACUCUGAUGGAGGCCCGUAGCGAUUCUGACGUGCAAAUCGAUCGUAGAAUUUGGGUAUAGGGGCGAGAGACUAAUCGAACCAUCUAGUAGCUGGCUCUGCUGAGUGCCCUCGCACGCGGGAACAAGCUAACUAGAAAGGUUCGAAUUAAGUCUUUCGCCUAUACCAAUUCUACGAUCGAAUUGCACGUCAGGAUAGCUACGGGCUCAUCAGAGUUUCUCUGACUCCCUAUUCAGCAUAGUCCCAUCUUUCGGUCCACAUAUAUGUCUCUACCUCCAAUUUUAGUCAAGACUAUAAACCGGGACCGGAUGUCUCUACUGAGAUUCGUUCAGAACCUUUAUUG